GACGAACGCUGGCGGCGUGCUUAACACAUGCAAGUCGAACGGAAAGGCCCUGCUUUUGUGGGGUGCUCGAGUGGCGAACGGGUGAGUAACACGUGAGUAACCUGCCCUUGACUUUGGGAUAACUUCAGGAAACUGGGGCUAAUACCGGAUAGGAGCUCCUGCUGCAUGGUGGGGGUUGGAAAGUUUCGGCGGUUGGGGAUGGACUCGCGGCUUAUCAGCUUGUUGGUGGGUAGUGGCUUACCAAGGCUUUGACGGGUAGCCGGCCUGAGAGGGUGACCGGCCACAUUGGGACUGAGAUACGGCCCAGACUCCUACGGGAGGCAGAAGGGGGGAAUAUUGCACAAUGGGCGGAAGCCUGAUGCAGCAACGCCGCGUGCGGGAUGACGGCCUUCGGGUUGUAAACCGCUUUCGCCUGUGACGAAGCGUGAGUGACGGUAAUGGGUAAAGAAGCACCGGCUAACUACGUG
rnacentral:rRNA from 1 species